rnacentral:rRNA from 1 species
UCUAAGCAUACGCCCUUGAAUGGUGAAGCCGCGAAUGGCUCAUUACAACAGGGGAAUUUUAUUAGAUCUUAAUAUCCUACAUGGAUAGCUGUGGUAAUUCUAGAGCUAAUACAUGCAAAAAGCUCCGACCUUACGGGAAGAGCGCAUUUGUUAGUCCAAACCAAUCGGGCUCCGGUCCGUUUCUUGGUGACUCUGAAUAACUUUGCUGAUCGCACGGUCUCGUACCGGCGACAAAUCUUUCAAGUCUCUGCCCUAUCAACUUUCGAUGGUAGUUUAUACGCCUACCAUGGUUACAACGGGUAACGGAGAAUAAGGGUUCGACUCCGGAGAGGGAGCCUGAGAGACGGCUACCACA